UACCAGCACCCCGAGUGGUCGGGACGUUUUAUUGGGCCUAAAGCAUCCGUAGCCGGUUCUACAAGUCCUCCGUUAAAUCCAGCUGCUUAACAGAUGGGCUGCGGAGGAUACUAUAAGACUAGGAGGCAGGAGAGGCAAGCGGUACUCAGUGGGUAGGGGUAAAAUCCGUUGAUCCAUUGAAGACCACCAGUGGCGAAGGCGGCUUGCCAGAAUGCGCUCGACGGUGAGGAUGAAAGCUGGGGGAGCAAACCGG
rnacentral:rRNA from 1 species